rnacentral:rRNA from 1 species
GAUGAACGCUGGCGGCGCGCCUAACACAUGCAAGUCGAACGAUUAAAGCACCUUCGGGUGUGUAUAAAGUGGCGAACGGCUGAGUAACACGUGGGCAACCUGCCCCUCUCAUUGGGAUAGCCACGGGAAACCGUGGAUAAUACCGAAUACUUCGGGACUUCCGCAUGGAAGACUCGAGAAAGCUCCGGCGGAGAGGGAUGGGCCCGCGGCCUGUUAGCUUGUUGGUGGGGUAAUGGCCUACCAAGGCAAUGAUGGGUAGCUGGGUUGAGAGACCGACCAGCCAGAUUGGGACUGAGACACGGCCCAGACUCCUACGGGAGGCAGCAGUGGGGAAUCUUGCACAAUGGGCGAAAGCCUGAUGCAGCGACGCCGCGUGCGGGAUGAAGGCCUUCGGGUUGUAAACCGCUUUCAGCAGGGACGAGGCGAAAGUGACGGUACCUGCAGAAGAAGCCCCGGCUAACUACGUG